AAAACAUGUCUUUUUUAUAAAAAUUUAAAGUCAGGUCUGCUCACUGAAUUAUUUUAAAGAGCCGCAGUAUAUUGACUGUGCAAAGGUAGCAUAAUCAAUAGUUUUUUAAUUGGAAACUAGAAUGAAAGAUUAGACGAAAAAUUAAUUUUCUUUGUUUUAAUAAAUUUAAUUUUAAAUUUAAGUGAAAAUGCUUAAAUAAAAUUAAAAGACGAGAAGACCCUAUAGAUUUUUAUUAUUGAAAUAAAUUUUUAAAUUUAAUUUAAUAAAAUAAUUUAAUUGGGGCGAUUUUAUAAUAUAAAUAACUUAAUUUUUUAAAACCAUAAAUAAUUGAAUAUUUGAUCUAAAAUUUUUAAAGAAAAGAUUAAAUUACCUUAGGGAUAACAGCGUAAUUUUAUUUAAGAGUUCAUAUCUAUAAUAAAGUUUGCGACCUCGAUGUUGAAUUAAGAUAAUAUAUUGGAGUAGAAAUUAAUAUAAUUAGUCUGUUCGACUAUUAAAUUCUUACGUGAUCUG
rnacentral:rRNA from 1 species